CUACGGGUCGCACCAGUGAGGAAUAUUGCACAAUGGGGGGAACCCUGAUGCAGCAACGCCGCGUGGAGGAUGACGCAUUUCGGUGUGUAAACUCCUUUUAUAUGUCAAGAAAAUGACGGUAGCAUAUGAAUAAGCACCGGCUAACUCCGUGCCAGCAGCCGCGGUAAUACGGAGGGUGCAAGCGUUACUCGGAAUCACUGGGCGUAAAGGGCGCGUAGGCGGGCUUGUAAGUCAGGUGUGAAAUCCUACAGCUUAACUGUAGAACUGCACUUGAAACUACGAGCCUAGAGUAUGGGAGGGGGAGAUGGAAUUAGUGGUGUAGGGGUAAAAUCCGUAGAUAUCACUAGGAAUACCUAAAGCGAAGGCGAUCUCCUGGAACAUAACUGACGCUAAGGCGUGAAAGCGUGGGGAGCAAACAGGAUUAGAUACCCUCGUAGUC
rnacentral:rRNA from 1 species